rnacentral:misc_RNA from 1 species
UACGGAGGGUGCAAGCAUUGAUCGGAUUUACUGGGCGUAAAGGGCGCGUAGGCGGUUGGAUAAGUCAGAUGUGAAAUUCCGGGGCUCAACCUCGGAGCUGCAUUUGAAACUGUUCAGCUAGAGUACAGUUAGGGAAAACGGAAUUCCACGUGUAGCGGUGAAAUGCGUAGAUAUGUGGAAGAACACCGGUGGUGAAGACGGUUUUCUGGGCUGUCACUGACGCUGAGGCGCGAGAGCUAGGGGAGCAAACAGG